rnacentral:lncRNA from 1 species
UCAGUGCCUGUGUGGGGUGUUUAGCUUAGCUAGGCAGCUCCAACAGCACCUGGAAUGCAAAAACAUCCUGAAUUUCUCCAAACACCACAGCAGGACUGUUUAAACAGCAAGACAUUCAGGAAAUAGUCAUUAUCUCCACACCUCCUGCAUUCAAUAGGGUGGAUUGUUGGAUGAGCUUCAGAGGGCAGCUCCAGUGAGUGCCAAGUCCUCCCGGACCAGAUCUCCCAUCCACAUGCAUGUGCCACCUGUGGGCCAAUGGGUCUGGGCUUCUCAGGUUAUUGGAGAGGAAGUUGGGCUUGAUUCUGUCUCCCUGUGUGGAGUCCUUUCUGUAUACCAAAUGAACUGUCAGCAUCAGCACAAAAAAUGGGUGCAGACUUGUGCAGGGAAGAGGAAGACUGCUGCUGUUGCACAUAUUUUCUAUAGGGAGCAUUUUGGACUAUUAUUAGGGGGAAAAGGUGGAGGUGGGUGGGCGAGUCUCAUCUGUCUCAUUUGCCUUGGGAUAGAGAAAGGAUGUACUGGUAGUCAUCAGCCAGUGUCUUCCUUCCCUUCAUUUGCCCCAUUUUUUUCCCCAUAUUUGGCAGGAGUCCAAAGCAAACCAUUGAUGAUCAAGCACUGGAUGACAGCAGUUUGGUCUGGUUAAUAUUCUCAUCAAGGAAUGAGGGAAGCAAAAUUUGGUAACUGACCAGUUUGCUGGGAUGGCUUGGACAGUGGACUUAUGGGAUCCUAGGCCUGUGUUCUAUCCUAAGAGGAGGUGAACAGUGAUUUCUUUACCAUUCACCCAACCAGUUUGCACAGAGAGCGAGGCCAGAAACCUGACUGGUAAGAAAUUCUUACCCUUUUGCUGGCAUGCUAGAUUUCUGGGUUCCCUUUUCCUCAGCACCUGUAGUGACCCUUUUUGCCACAUUAUAGUCCUGGGUGCCAAGCCGCAACACAAAGGAAAAUCAUCUUUUUCUGUUUCAUAGAACCAUAGGCAAAAGCCUAUCAAGUUUGCAAGAUGCCACCCAAGGGGUUGCAUGGGUUAACCAAAUUCACAUUUCCCAUUCUGGCCAGAGCAAAAUACAUGUGACAAAACACAGACAUUAGCCACCCUGUUUAGCACCCAAUAUUGAACUGGUGAGGCUCAAACUUGCCCCGAGUUGGGCCCUGUUAUCUUUAAUCCAUUCAAAGUGGGGUGGAAUGACCUCUAACCAGGAGUUUCAAAAUGUGGCCUCUGGGUAAGAUGGAAGAGCAGAUGGCCUCCUUGAGUAACAGAAAAGUUAGGAAAAGGAAAGGAGAGAAAGAGAGAGAGAAAAGCAUUGCUUGCAGUGUGGUGAGGAAGGUGAGCAGCUCAGGGAGGCCAGAGAAAGACCCACUGUUACCCAUUGCAGAGACGGUGAAUCAAAAGUUCAGGCAGCUGCUUGUCAGUCACAAAGGUAUCUUUUCCAGCAGCCCCAUAAGCUCUCAAGUUUCUUCCUUUGUGGAGAGAAAAGCUCCCCAUGUCCUGUGAUCCUGUACUUGCCUAAUUAUGUCACCCAUAGCCAUCAGCAAAGAGAGUAAGGCAGAUUAAUUCAAAGAGAAUAGUGGUUAACAUCCCAUAAUGUCAA